UAAAUUUAAAUUAUAAUCUUAUUUAUUUAGCAUGAUAUCUCUAAGGCAAAUUUGCUAGUAAAGCAUAAAUAUUGGGCGGCGCCAGGCCACUAGUAUAAGCAUAGAAGAACAGGAAUACUCGUCCGUGCCUAUCAAAAUUCCUAAUUCUCAUUGAUCAAACCUCCCAUGGAAGGAGUUGGUGAACUGGAAUCGAACAAAUAAGAAUUUUAUUAUUUUUUUCUUCUUUUCUUUAAGUUUUAGCCGAGGAUUUUGAGAUAGUAGUUUUUACUCAGCAUGUUGUUAUUGUAAUUAUGUUCCUCCCUUACCCUUCAGGGUUAUACUUUCUGUAGAACUACCUAUAUAUUUUUCUUUUUUUUUUUUUUUGCAGGAAAAGGAAGCAAGUCGAGAGCUCCUCCAGUGAGCCUCCUGAAAAAAAAAAAUGGAUCCGUUUUGUAGAAGGCAUAUCUUAUGCUCUUGUUGGUCGAAUCCAGGAUGAAGCUGCUUGCGUUCUCAAAGACAAAGGUUUUGAGGCAUCACCAUUACUUGAAGAAUUUCUCGAUGGUGAUAUGUUGGAUCCUCAGUCAAUGGUUGUUCGUGAUUUUGCUAGCAGUCGGCCGCUGCCAUUGACCAAAGAACGCAAAGAAAUGCUCUCAGACAUAUUGAGUCGUAUUGUAGAAGAUGUAUACUCUGUUUUGGAUGAUUUUCUGAAGAGUAAAUAUCUGCUGCAGCUCCAGGUAGAGAGUGAUGUGUUGAUUACUAGCCUGUUUCUUUUUUUUUUUUUAGUGUAUUAUGGUUGUUGCAUCACCCUUGUUUUACCUUGUGGUUUUGAGUUCACUGAUGAAAGAUGCUCAUGAUUCUAGUAGCCACAAUGAUUUAGGUGUUUUUCCUGGUGGUGUCUCUCUGCGGCAGUUUGCAAUCAAAGAACUGCAAAAAUUGCUCUCUAACAGUAUGAAUUAAGCCUACGCUAGCUUCUAUUCUGUUGAUUUAAUUUUAAUUUGCAUAUUACGUAUUUGCAAAUAAUUAUUGACAGAAUGAAAUCCUUGUUUAGAAGAUAUAUCUUAUGCUUUAGUUCGUGGACUAGUCAUACCGAGAAAGUGUUGUCUACAACUCCAGGUUCGGACGCUCAGGUUCCCGACCACGCAUAGACAUAUUCAGAUUCAGCCAACAUAUCAAAUUUAGUAGUAAGUCUUCAUCUAUCGAGGAUAUUCUUUUAUUUUAUUAUUUUAAUAGACUCAGUAUUUCAGUAGAUGGAGUUAGUUGGGGGGUUGUCCCAUCAACUCUACUUUUAGAUAGUUUUCAGUUAUAGGCUUUUCAGAUUAGUUUUCAGUUUUACAGAUGUUAUAUAUUUCAGUAUUUCAGAUGUUUUGAACCUUAUGGCAUUUUAUCCUAUUUUUUCACAUUUAUUAUAAUAUAUUAUUCAGUGCUCACAGAAGAUAUCAGUUAUGGGUUAGCUUGUAGUCCUUCAGGGUCGUAAGUACCGUGUAGCGUUCGGGGUAUAGACUUGGGGCCUUACAUGACAUCAGCCCAAUUCAAUUUUUUCAAAUUCUAAAAUUUCUGAUUAUGUGACCAACAUAAGUUGAAAAAUGUAAUCCCACUAAUAAUCUAAUCCCGUAUCCAUAUCGAAAUAUUUCCUAAUAAUGAUGGAUUAGGUCAUUACAACAUUUAUCAAUUCAUCCAUUGUUUGUCUUCGAAU